UUUUUUUUUUUGUUCUGGCUCUGUUUUGUUGUGGUUAUCUGCUGAUUCAGUUGGGGUUUUGGUUUUUUUGCUCUGUUCUGUCUGGUGGCUGUUUUAAUUGUGCUGGUUUUUUACUACUUGGUUGAUGUGUUUAGAGUGUUAGCUGAGCAGUUUUUGGCUGUCUACUGGAUGGUGAUGUUUGUUAAGACUGGCUGGUUUUUGGAUAUUGUUGAUCUGUUUCAUGUUUUGGAGAGGCUGGGUGCUGGUGUUGGUGUUGCUGGCGCUUUGGGGGCCUGGGUUAAGUGGUCGUGGUUGGGCUUUGAAAGUUUUGUUUAUGUCAAGCUUUGGAACAAGUUUUUUCUUCAGGUGGAACAGGAAUGAUCGCAAGGUAUGUUUUUUGUGUUUUUGGCAUUUCUUUUUUCUAUAUAUUGUGCCUUUUUGCAGGAGAGCUGUGCUGAAUUAGAUGAUUGGGGUUCUCCUUUUUUGGGUGCUGUUGACUCACAACCCUUCUUUUAAUUUAAGUUAUUUUUGUAAUCGUAGGAUAAGGAUCCACCGGCUCAUAGUUUUUUUUUUUUUUCUUUUCUUAUGUAGCUCUUUUGAGCGGUAGAGAGCUGGAGGAUCCUUCUAAGGACCAUGUAACCGAAUUUUUGUUAUCAACGCGUAGGCCCCGCUGUGGGUUUUAACCAAAAAA